GAUGAAGAACGUAGCGAAAUGCGAUAAGUAAUGUGAAUUGCAGAAUUCAGUGAAUCAUCGAAUCUUUGAACGCACCUUGCGCCCUUUGGCCAUUCCGAAGGGCAUGCCUGUUUGAGUAUCAUGAACACCUCAACUCUUCUUGGUUUUCCGUGAUGAGCUUGGACUUUGGGGGUCUUGCUGGCCUAUGGUCAGCUCCUCUAAAAUAAAUCAGCUUGCCAGUGUUUGGUGGGUAUCACAGGUGUGAUAACUAUCUACGCUUGUGGUUUUCCACCAGGUAACCUUCAGCAGUGGAGGUUCGCUGGAGCUCACAGAUGUGUCUCUCCUCAGUGAGGACAGCUCUUUGAAUGUUUGAUCUCAAAUCAGGUAGGACUACCCGCUGAACUUAAGCAUAUCAAUAAGCGGAGGA
rnacentral:misc_RNA from 1 species